rnacentral:misc_RNA from 1 species
GCCACUCGGCCCGCAUAUGCGGCCACGCGAACGGCAGGACGAUCAGGCAGGCGAAGGCCCAGCGCAGAAAGGACAGCGCCAUGGGCGGAAAAUCAGCCGCGAUGAAACGUCCCAGCACGAUGUUGCCCGCCCAGAACAGGGACGACAGGGACAGCAGCAGAUAGGGCCUGUUCAUGAGCCAUGAUGUCGCGGAUCGCGGGGCGGGAUCGUUCAUGUCGAUGGCGGAUUAUUGGCUUUGCAGGGAAGGUCGGGGCUGACCGGAAUUAUUUGGGGAU